AAAAAAAAAAAAAUCAAUCAGCAAUAGGGUAGUCAUAAUUUUAACAAUGAAAUCCAGUUGCUUUGAAUGCCUCAAAGAUUCUAGUUUAAGCCUGGCUUGCUAGGAGGCAUGCAUCCUGGUCCCCUCCUCCUAGGAACUCCUAGUUUGUGUGAGGUGAUACCCUCUCAUGAGUAAUGGUCAAUACGAUGCUGUUUGCAUGGUCCUUCCCUGUUUACAGAAACUCCCCAC
rnacentral:lncRNA from 1 species